GACGAACGCUGGCGGCGUGCUUAACACAUGCAAGUCGAACGGAAAGGCCCUGCUUUUGUGGGGUUCUCGAUUGGCGAACGGGGGCGUAACACGUGAGUAACCUGCCCUUGACUUUGGGAUAACUUCAGGAAACUGGGGCUAAUACCGGAUAGGAUCUCCUGCUGCAUGGAGGGGGUUGGAAAUUUUCGGCGGUCGGGGAUGGGCUCGCGGCUUAUCAGCUUGUUGGUGGGGUAGUGGCUUACCAAGGCUUUGACGGGUAGCCGGCCUGGGAGGGUGACCGGCCACAUUGGGCCUGAGAGACGGCCCAGACGCGUACGGGAGGCAGCAGUGGGGAAUAUUGCACAAUGGGAGGAAGCCUGAUGCAGCAACGCCGCGUGCGGGAUGACGGCCUUCGGGUUGUAAACCGCUUUCGCCUGUGACGAAGCGUGAGUGACGGUAAUGGGUAAAGAAGCACCGGCUAACUACGUG
rnacentral:rRNA from 1 species